CUCUGUACUCCACACAUACAAUUAUAUGUAACUUCCCUCAGUCGACUAGUGAAUUUCAAACACAGAUUCAACCACAAAGACCAGGGAGGUUUUCCAAUGCCUCACAAAGAAGGGCACCUAUUGGUAGAUGGGUAAAAAAAGCAGACAUUGAAUAUCCCGUUGAGCAUGGUGAAGUUAUUAAUUACACUUUGGCUGGUGUAUCAAUACACCCAGUCACUACAAAGAUAUAUGCAUCCUUCCUAACUCAGUUGCCGGAGAGGAAAGAAACUGCUCAGGAAUUUCACCAUGAGACCAAUGGUGACUUUAAAACAGUUAAAGAGUUUAAUGGCUGUGAUAGGAGAAAACUGAGGAUGGAUCAACAUUGUAGUUACUCAGAGUGAAAAGAAGUAGGCCUGUACAGAAUAAAAAUAUUCCAAAACAUGCAUCCUGUUUGCAACAAGGCACUAAAGUAAUACUGUGGCAAUGCAAUUAACUUUUUGUCUUGAAUACAAAGUGUUAUGUUUGGGUCAAAUCCAACACAACACAUUACUGUGUACCACUCUCCAUUUGUUUAAGCCUAGUGGUGGCUGCAUUAUGUUAUGGGUAUGCUUGAAGUUAUUAAGGACUGGGGAGUUUUUCAGGAUAAAAAAUGUAUGGAAUGGCGCUAGGCACAGGCAAAAUCCGAGAGGAAAACCUGGUUCAGUCCGCUUUCCACCAGACACUGGGAGAUGAAUCCACCCUUCAGCAGGACAAUAACCUAAACACAAGGACAAAUCUAAACUGGCAUUGCUUACCAAGAAGAGUGACAUUUCCUGAGUGGCAGUAGUAUAUGUUUGUCUGGCAGUGAUCAACAACCAACUUGAAGAAUUUUGAAAAUAAUAAUGGGUAAAUGUUGCGCAAUCCAGGUGUGGAAAGCUUAGGGACUUACCCAGAAAGACUCACAGCUCUAAUCGCUGUGAAAGGUGCUUCUACAAAGUAUUGACUCAAGGGUGGGAGGUGCUUCUACAAAGUAUUGACUCAAGGGUGGGAGGUGCUUCUACAAAGUAUUGACUCAAGGGUGGGAGGUGCUUCUACAAAGUAUUGACUCAAGGGUGGGAGGUGCUUCUACAAAGUAUUGACUCAAGGGUGGGAGGUGCUUCUACAAAGUAUUGACUCAAGGGUGGGAGGUGCUUCUACAAAGUAUUGACUCAAGGGUGGGAAUACUUAUGUAAAUUAGAUAUUUCUGUAUUUCAUUUUUCAAAAGUUUUCUACAAUCUAUUUUAUCCAUUUUGAAUUCAGGCUGUAACACAAGAAAAUGUGGAAUAAGUCAAGGGGUAUUUUAUAUUUUAUUUACAACGACAGCCUACCCCGGCCAAACCCUAACGUCGCUGGGCCAAUUGUGCACCACCCUAUGGGACUCCCAAUCACGGCAAGUUGUGGAAUCGAACCAGUGUCUGUAGUGACGCCUCUAGCACUGAGAUGCAGUGCCUUAAACCACUGUGCCACAUGGGAGUACUUUCUUAAGGCACUCUAUAAAUGAGUUUAACUACUUUGCUGGUUAGUUAUCUUUUCAAAAGAACUAACUUAGCUUGCUUGCUAGCUAGCUGUAGAUUGGCUGGCCAUUUAGCUAAUGUUUUUUUUUUUAUCUAGCUACAUAAUGCAGCAAGUACAGCUACUACCUUAACUAACUGCUUAGCUAGUUAUUUUCUCUGGAACAAUGAGCUAAAAUAGCACGCUAUAUCUUAGCUAGCUAGCUGCAUCUUUGCUGGCUGUUUAGCUAGUUGGCUAAUGUUUUGAAUCAUCUAACUAGCAAAUGUUACAUGUUAUAGCAAGUACAACUACUAUUUUUACUAACUGCUUACCUAGCUAUUUUCUCUGGGGCAAUGAGCUAAUAUAGCAAGCUGUAUCUUAGCUGGCUGAUAGAUAUAUAAAUAUAUGUUCAUCUUAUUAACACAACUGCAGGUUGGUGUAUAAUUAAAAGGUUCCUUGUAUGCUUGUCAAUGUAAAUAGGAGCCUCUCGGGCUGGUGUAUAAUAAAAGGAAAUAAGUUCCAUAAGUUCCAUAAAUGAACUUUUAAGAAGGCAAACCUGUUCAUUGAAAUGCAUUCCAGGUGACUACCUCAUGAAGCUGGUUGAGAGAAUGCCAAGAGUGUGCAAAGCUGUCAUCAAGGCAAAGGGUGGCUACUUUGAAGAAUCUCAAAUAUAAAAUAUAUUUUGAUUAGUUUUAAACCUUUUUUGGUUACUACAUGAUUUCAUAUGUGUUAUUUCAGUAUUAUUCUACAAUGUAUAUAAAAUAAAAUAGGACAAAUCCUUGAAUGAGUAGGUGUGUACAAACUUUUGACUGGUACUGUAUAUCUUUAAAACUAGUAAUGUGAUUUACCUACUUGUCCAACAUUUAUGUUUACCUUUUUGUUACCCUAGGCAUACAGAACCCUGCCAGCACCCACCUCAACCCCUCAGAAACCAGUUAGCCAGCCCCCACCACAACCCCUCAGAAACCAGUUAGCCAGCC
ensembl:lncRNA